rnacentral:rRNA from 1 species
UUAGGAAUAUUCGUCAAUGGGGGAAACCCUGAACGAGCAAUGCCGCGUGAACGAUGAAGGUCUUUUAGAUUGUAAAGUUCUGUUGUAAGGGAAGAAUUGCAAAAAUAGGAAAUGAUUUUUGUUUGACGGUACCUUUCCAGAAAGCUCCGGCUAACUACGUGCCAGCAGCCGCGGUAAUACGUAGGGAGCAAGCGUUAUCCGGAUUUAUUGGGCGUAAAGCGUGUGUAGGCGGUUUGUUAAGUAUAAGAUUAAAGCCCGAGGCUUAACCUCGGUUCGUCUUAUAAACUGGCAGACUUGAGUAUGGUAGAGGCAAACGGAAUUUCUAGUGUAGCGGUAAAAUGCGUAGAUAUUAGAAGGAACACCAGUGGCGAAGGCGGUUUGCUGGGCCAUCACUGACGCUGAGACACGAAAGCGUGGGGAGCAAAUAGG